rnacentral:rRNA from 1 species
GACGUAGGAUGCAAGCGUUGUCCGGAUUUAUUGGGCGUAAAGAGUUCGUAGGCGGUUCGUUAAGUCUGAUGUUAAAGACUGGGGCUCAACCGCGGGAGUGCAUUGGAUACUGGCGGACUGGAGUGUGGUAGAGGCUAGUGGAAUUCCCAGUGUAGCGGUGAAAUGCGUAGAUAUUGGGAAGAACACCAGUGGCGUAGGCGACUAGCUGGGCCAUAACUGACGCUGAGGAACGAAAGCCAGGGGAGCGAAUGGG